rnacentral:rRNA from 1 species
GACGAACGCUGGCGGCGCGCCUAACACAUGCAAGUCGAACGGAGCUGAGAGAAGCUUGCUUUUCUUAGCUUAGUGGCGAACGGGUGAGUAACGCGUGAGUAACCUGCCCUGGAGUGGGGGACAACAGUUGGAAACGACUGCUAAUACCGCAUAAGCCCACGAUCCGGCAUCGGAUUGAGGGAAAAGGAUUUAUUCGCUUCAGGAUGGACUCGCGUCCAACUAGCUAGUUGGUGAGGUAACGGCCCACCAAGGCGACGAUUGGUAGCCGGACUGAGAGGUUGAACGGCCACAUUGGGACUGAGACACGGCCCAGACUCCUACGGGAGGCAGCAGUGGGGGAUAUUGCACAAUGGGGGAAACCCUGAUGCAGCGACGCCGCGUGGAGGAAGAAGGUUUUCGGAUUGUAAACUCCUGUCGUUAGGGACGAUAAUGACGGUACCUAACAAGAAAGCACCGGCUAACUACGUG